rnacentral:tmRNA from 1 species
GGGGGUGCACUGGCUUCGACGGGGGUCGCGAAAUCACUUGGCGCAUGCCGAGGGGGUAGCUUUCCUCGUAAAUCCAGCUGCAAAACU